GAUGAAGAACGUAGCGAAAUGCGAUAAGUAAUGUGAAUUGCAGAAUUCAGUGAAUCAUCGAAUCUUUGAACGCACAUUGCGCCCGCCAGCACUCUGGCGGGCAUGCCUGUUCGAGCGUCAUUUCAACCAUCAAGCCCCCAGGGGCUUGUGCUGGGGCCCUGCGGCUGCCCGCAGGCCCUGAAAACCAGUGGCGGGCUCGCUAGUCACACCGAGCGCAGUAGCACAUCUCGCUCAGGGCGUGCGGCGGGCUCCUGCCGUGAAACCCCCCACUGUAACCCCAAAGGUUGACCUCGGAUCAGGUAGGAAUACCCGCUGAACUUAAGCAUAUCAAUAAGCGGAGGA
rnacentral:misc_RNA from 1 species